GACGAACGCUGGCGGCGUGCUUAACACAUGCAAGUCGUACGGUAAGGCCCUUUCGGGGGUACACGAGUGGCGAACGGGUGAGUAACACGUGAGUAACCUGCCCACAACUUUGGGAUAACGCUAGGAAACUGGUGCUAAUACUGGAUAUGUGCUCCUGCUGCAUGGUGGGGGUUGGAAAGCUCCGGCGGUUGUGGAUGGACUCGCGGCCUAUCAGCUUGUUGGUGGGGUAGUGGCCUACCAAGGCGGCGACGGGUAGCCGGCCUGAGAGGGUGACCGGCCACAUUGGGACUGAGAUACGGCCCAGACUCCUACGGGAGGCAGCAGUGGGGAAUAUUGCACAAUGGGCGCAAGCCUGAUGCAGCAACGCCGCGUGCGGGAUGACGGCCUUCGGGUUGUAAACCGCUUUCAGCAGGGACGAAGCUUUUUGUGUCGGUACCUGCAGAAGAAGCACCGGCUAACUACGUG
rnacentral:rRNA from 1 species